rnacentral:misc_RNA from 1 species
GAUGAAGAACGUAGCGAAAUGCGAUACGUAGUGUGAAUUGCAGAAUUCAGUGAAUCAUCGCAUCUUUGAACGCACAUUGCACCUCUCGGUAUUCCGGGAGGUAUGCCUGUUCGAGCGUCAUUUGUACCCUCAAGCUCUGCUUGGUGUUGGGUGUUUGUUCCGCCUCUGUGUGUGAACUCGCCUCAAAACAAUUGGCAGCCGGCGUACUUGUUUCGGAGCGCAGCACAUUUUGCGAUCCAGAUCAACGUACAGCGGCAUCCAAGAAGCCUUAUUUAACGCUCUUGACCUCGGAUCAGGUAGGGAUACCCGCUGAACUUAAGCAUAUCAAUAAGCGGAGGA